UAGCUCAGCUGGUAGAGCAUCUCCCUUUUAAGGAGAGGGUCCUGGGUUCGAACCCCAG
rnacentral:tRNA from 1 species